UUCUGGCAAUGGUGAAGACAUGGAAUUUUUGCCAAAAAAAAUGGGGUGGAGGAAAAUAAAGCAUUUGUGUGAGUAUAUAACCAUUUGAUCUCGUUUUCAGCCCUCUCCAGGGUCAAUCUAGAAUCAGAUCUGCUCCCCAGCAUCUUCUGUUUCCUGGCGAGUGUUUCCUGCAAUAUUGGAUUGGCAAUGACAGGCUGGAGCUGCCUUGUGACAGGAGCAGGAGGGUUUCUGGGUUAGAGGAUCAUCCGCCUCUUGGUGGAGGAGAAGGAGCUGAAGGAGAUCAGGGCCUUGGACAAGGCCUUCAGACCAAAGCUGAGGGAGGAAUUUUCUGGUAAGUAAACUUGAUUCAUGGAUGUGUGGCUCCAUUUUAAACCCUGCAUGGGUGCAGGAAGGUGAACCUUUUCUAGCAAGUUACAGAAAGUUGUAGUCAAAUCUAAGCCAAUCCCACAUUCACAAUCAUCAUAAAAAGAAUAUUAAAUAGUAUAAAUGGCAUCAUGUGAAAGACACUGGACGGGGUGUCCAGAGACUGGAUUCUGGCCCUGACCCAGAACUUGAGAGGCAGCCACUUUGGACACCAGACCCCUUUACUUCUCAUCUAGAAAAUCCCACAUCAGUUAUUUUUCUUGUCUACAACGUUUUUAUGUUCUGAAGCUUUUUGUCUUGGCAAUUGCUUUGCAACAUUUAUAAAGGACACCAUUUACCUGGAGACCUCACCAGUGGGUCCCUGCCUUUCUAGACUGCCCUGAGCUUUUUGUUUUGUAGCAACCUUGGCAUCUUUAGUGAAGGCAAAAUAAAAGGAAGUGAAUGUAUAGGAGAGUGUGUAAGUGUGUGUGUGUGCCAGAAAGCGAAACAGAGAGAGAAAAUGAGGGGGGAGAGAAAAUCAGAGAGAAUGAGAAAGACAGAGAAUGCAUGAGAAAGAGUGAGAGAGAAAGAGAGCAUCAGUGAUAGAGAGAGCCCGUGCACAGGCACACAGCACAGAACAGAGAUGGCAAGAGGCAGUAUGAGGCCAGAUAUGCCUCAUUUCGAUUUUUCAUAUAUGGCUUUAUUUUUUAACCAUUUGUCUCUGUUGCUCAAUAGCCAAGAAAUUGCAGAAUUCGGUGUAGCAGAUCCUUGUGCAAAUAACCCCAUGAGGAAGGUAGAAAAGGGGUUGCAUCCAACUGAACAAUGAACCAUCAAAGUCCAGAAACAUAAAGCAACUUGCCGAGACCAUCUAAUUAAUGUGUAGCACAGCUCAGACCAGAGCUUCCUCCAGAGGCUUCCUCACUUGACUCUGGAGCUGAUGCUUGGCAAAGUGGGUCUUCAGUCUCUCCCUUUGCCUCCCUGGGUGCCCAAUUCCCUGUCCUCCUCCCCAACCCAGGGUACUGUGUGUCUACAUGUGGGCUCUGGCUGUGUAGAGAGUCAUGACCUGCCCUCAGAGAAGCCUCUACUUGAUAGCACUCAGGGACCACACCCAACACACUGUUCCUCUUUUGCUCUUCUCUGACCUCUUCCGAUUUCCUCCACCCUCUGUUUUAAUGGUGUCUUUCAUAAACAAAUAUUAACACAAAACAAGAUUAAAUGUUUGUAAUCCUUAUGUGUCACCAGUAUUUACAAUCUAACACGUAAUACCAGAAAAAAGCAAUUCUCAGCCUAGAGGAAUUGUUCCUUAUGGUGAAAAGGCAGGGAAUAUAAUGGAUAGGCAGUGGCCUGUAUGAAGAUAAAAACAAAGAAUCCUUUCAGUGUUCUUUCUGUGCCAGGCACUGUGCUACAUGUUUUGCAUGUGCUGACUCAUUUGUUACUCAUAGCAACCCUAUGAGAUUGUUAAUAUUAUUAUCCUCCUUUCUUACAGAUCAGGAGACAGACACAGAGAGGUUAAUUAACUCACCGAAGGUCCCAGAGUUAGAAUAUUGCAAAGCUGGAUUUGAACCCAGACAGUCUAGUGCAGCAUCUGUGCUCUUAAGCAGUAGUUAGUCUAGCAGCUUGAGGAAGGAGGGAACUAUGGCUCCACCACAAAGUCCCUUUUCCUGGUCUCUCUAGAUCCCUGUGAACUCAUUGAGGAAAAGCCUUUUCUCUUGGCUUUAGACUUCUUCUGCUUUGAAAUGGCAAUUCCUUUCUGCCAGCCUGUCUGAAGUUGGCAGCAAAGGGGAAGCAGAGGAAGGGAGCAGGAAGUGCAGAGGUGGAAAUACAACCAGAGAAAAUUCCACUCUCAGGCUGUUACCCGCAUCCUCCCCAGCAGCCUCUUCCCUGCCUCCCCAAACUGCAGGGCCUCCUUGGAGGUGCCUGGCAAUAGGAAGGGGCUGGGAGUAGACAAAACAUGGCAAAGGCAUUAGGAGAGUAAAUGGUCCUGUCUGAACCCCUGGAAGGAAUUGCUCCGGUCUUGAAUUUUUCGCUCUGAAUUUUACUCUCACUGUUCUUUGGCCUUUGUUGCCAAUUUCAGUUGACCUGGUUUAUUCUUACUCUUUCUCAGAAAAGUUUAUUCUAAACAGCUAGGCCUGUACCCGGUGUACAGAGUACAACACUUAGAGGUGGGGUGGGCAAGUUUGAGUCUCCACUAGAAACGUGACCUUAGAUCUGUCCCUUAACCUCUCUGAUCCUCAGUUUCCUCACAAUAAAGUGGGACUCAGAAAACCUGUCUCAUGAGAUUGUUGUAAAAUGAAAUAAGCAAGCUGUGAGUCAUAUGCAGAUUAUAAAGCACAAACAAGUGUAGAGUAUUUAUCCAAGCUCCAGGUACCACGGUUUUCAUUGCGUGGGCUAAUUCCAGGUGACAACUUUACUGUCCGCGUAAUGUCUUGUGGAUUUCAGAGGAGCGUGAAGACAUUAAAGUUGUAACCACUGCCCUUGGCUAGACAGCUGGAAUAUCAGUUCAUUGGUCACUAACUUUCAGCAUUGCUAUCUGCUUUUGAUAUCUGAUAAGAGUUUUUCAUGGACAUUCCUCAUUUAUGCCCAUCCACAGUUCCCUAGUAAUGGCUCCACUCUCCUCCCAAUUUCCCAAGCAGGAAACCAUAGGGGUGAUUUUGUCUUCUUUUUCUCUCAGCCCAGAUCCAAUAGGUACCAGGACCUUCAAGGUAAGGUCUGAAAUUCAAACCUGUUUUAUCUCUCCCCUGCUCUGCUUCCACUGCUGGACCCUGCUUCCAGUCCUCAUCGAAACUUUGGCACAGAUACUCUGAUUAAUAUCUUAAUUACCUUACUUUCUCAUAUCCCCUAUACCAGUCCAUUUUAUAUCCUCAAGCCAAUGUUGACUUCCUACUUCACAAUUCUGCUUCUGUUUCUCUCUCUCUUUUUUUUUUUUUUUUUUUUGAAACAAGGUUUGGCUAUGCCACCAAGGCUGGCAUGCAAAGGCAUGAUCUCUGCUCACUGCCACCUUCACCUCCUGGGCCCCAUUCAUCCUCCUGCUUCAGCCUUCCAAGCAGCCAGGACUAUGGGCAUGCACCAAUACGCCUGGCUAAUUUUUGUAUUUUUAGUAGAGAUGGGGUUUCAUGAGGUUGUCCAGGCUGAUCUUGACCUCCUGGGUGCAAGCAAUCUGCCCACCUCAGCCUCCCAAAAUGAUGGAAUUACAGGUGUGAGCCACCAUGCUCUGCCUGUUUCUCUACUUAUUCCAAAUAUAAAUAAGGGGUUUCUCUGAUAUGGUGCUGGAGACCCAAAAUCAUGAUCCCGCAUCACCAGCAGAAUUAAAUUCAAAUUUUCCCUCUUAUACCCAACUCUCCACAAUCACUCUACUCCUUUUAAAAAUUUUGAUGGGCUUUCCAUGACCCUAGCAGUGCUUAUAUUCCAAGCACACCUGACAGCUCAUUGCUCAGAUUACAUUUCUGAAAUGAGAUGGGGUAGAAACAGAUGUUUGCUCUUUCCCAAUAAAUUGCUACACAUUCUGACUUCUGUGUCUCUGUUUAUUUGUUCCUUCCAUGGAAUGUACACCCUCCACUCCAACACCCUGACUCUAGCCAUCCUCAAACACCUAUGCAACAACAUCUUUAUCAGGAAACUUCCAAGCCAGUUUCAGAAACCAUUCCGAUAACCUGUCCCGUGUUCACACAGAGCUCCAGAACAAGACCAAGCUGACAGUGCUGGAAGGAGACAUUCUGGAUGAGCCAUUCCUGAAGAGAGCCUGCCAGGACAUGUCGGUCAUCAUCCACACUGCCUCUAUCAUAUAUGUCAUCGGUGUCACUCACAGAGUCCAUCAUGAAUGUCAAUGUGAAAGGUACAGUAGCCUGGGGAGGAGAUGAAGCAAGGUGGGGAAUUAAGGAUCACAAAGAAGGACAGGAAGGGAAAAGAAGUCUCUCCACUGAACACCUGCUAUGCUCUGGACCAAGUGUCUUUGCUGAUCACUACCAACUGGGGGAGUUCAAAGCUGCUAUCUUCAGUUUUUUACAUGAGGAAACCAGUGCUACAGAUGGCAAGUAACUUGUCCAAGGCCCCCCAGGUAAGUAAGUAAGUAGGAGAAUUAGACUUUAAACUCACCCCUGUGUGACUCCAAAGGCUGUGGACACUCUAUUGUGGCUCCAGUCAAAAGUCAACUAAACUCCAACUUCAGACUCUUGAUAUUCAGCCACUCUUUGCCUCUAUGGGACAGAAUCAAACCUUCCAGGUGCCACCAUAGUCAUCAUUUUAAACCUUGUGUGUAGGCUUAUAAUAAUGAAAUGGGAAAAAUUCCCUCACCCCCCUCACCAAGCAUGCAAUGGGGGUGUGGCUUGCUUCUUCAGUGCCUCACUGCUGAAACCUCUAUGGGAGCAUACAGGCAGGCAGGCUGUGGGACUCCGACACCAUGGCAGUGUCUGGGGUGAAUUGUACAGCUCCUGAAGCCCCAGUGGGUGUGUGUUACAUGGUGCUCUUUUAGUCUUGCUCUUUUAGUUUUGACAUCUAUAGGCGGCUUGUUUUAACCAGCUAAAUUAGACCCUCUACCUUGUUGGAAGGUCAGAGGGCUUUCUGUAUCCUGGGUUCUUGCUUUGGUUACCGGAAGAAUUGGAUCACACCUGGGCUUGGAGAAUGAGUACAAGGUUAUUUUGAGUGGAGGUAGCUCUCAGCAGCUGGGGGAUGCCAGAAGGGGAGGGUUUUCCCCUGGAGUCGGUUGCUCAAUGACCCAACUCUUCUCCAACCACCCCAGACAAACUCCACAUCAUUUUGCCCAUGGGUAUGUUCCUCCCAAAGUCCAGCUGCCCGUGUAUUCCUUUGCUGAUGUGUUCCUCUGCUGAUGUGUGCCUCCACUGAUGUGCCCUUCCUGACAUCCAGCCCCUUCUGUCUUCUUCUGCCAAUCUGCUCCUCUCAAUGUCCAGCAGCUUGUGCAUGUGCCUGCUAGGGUAUUGGGGGGUUUUAUAGGCAGAGAAUGGGAGCAUGGCAGGCCAGGGUGGUCUUGGGAAAUGCAACAUUUGGGCAGAAAAUGCUUGUCCUCAUCUAGGUCCCUGAGGGUGCAGCCCUAGCCAGAAACCACACCCUCCUUCACCCAGCACUUCCCUUCCCCGCUCUCAUAUCAUUUAAAGGGACCACACUCUUCCCUUCCCAGCACUCCCAUAUCAAGAACAUUCAAAGCCCUCCUGCCCACCUCAAAGAAGUUCUCUUGAGAGAACUAGCAAAGCUGGUUCUCAGAGGUCUGUCAGGACAGAAUUAUCCAGCACAUGCUUUCUCACAAUAUUUUCUUAACAAAAAGAGUUUCCCAGUAUGCAGAAUAUGAUCUCUUCAGCUCACCAAAGGGCCUGCUAUUACAGAACCAUUUCAAACUAGGUGCCCAAAGUGCACCUUCAUUCAAUCCUCGUCCCUUAAAAGCUUGGUGGUCUUUCCGAAUUGCAGCUUCCCAAACUACUUUAAAUUCAGACACAUUCCCUUAAGGAAUCUCGUCAUGCAGUCUCACCCUCUGAUUCCCAGAGUCCAGUCUCUUCAGCACCAUAGCACCCAACCACAGGCCUGGCCCUCCACAUUCAGUCUACUCUGAUGCCUUUUCUCAUGCAACUAAUUGCUUUUGAGUCUCCAGUACCAAAAAAAAAAGAGAAGAAAGAAAGAAAGAAAGAAAGAAAGAAAGAAAGAAAGAAAGAAAGAAAGAAAGAAGAAAGAGAAAGAAAGGAAAGAAGGAAGGAAGGAAAGAAGGAAGGAAGGAAGGAAGAAAGAAAGAAAGAAAGAGAGGAAGGAAGGAAACAGAAAGAAAAAAACCUUUCCAGUUUCUACUCGCUCAUUUCUUUCAGUACCCCUACAGUGCAAGGAGGGUGUUAAGAGUAACCAGUUUUUCAUUUGAAUUGUUAACUCUCCGCAGCUCCCAACAACAAGAAAUGUGAAAUGACAGGGGAAGUGUUAGAGGCAUCUGUUUCCUAACCAUUAUCACUCCAAGGCUUAGAAAAUAUUUCACAAUGUUGGUCAUUUCCCCCUUGAAGGUAAACUACUUCCGCAUUUUCUCUGCCACCAGAUUAAUUGUUGAAAACAUGAGGCUGUCUCUCCAGAAACUCAAAUUCCACAGAGACUUUAAACAGGGCCAAGAAUAAAAAAAUAAGAAAAAAUAAUAAUCCUUUGCCUAGGAAAUUCCUUCCUUCUUCAAGGGAAGGCACUCCGAACACCUCCAUGAGCUUCGCUUCCACACAGCUCAGGGGAGGCGGCAAGGUCCUCCCAGUACAGGUGUUACCAGCAGAGGGCACACUCCUCUCCCCAGUCCUCCACCAGGCUCCACAGGAAACGCCAGGGCAGGGUUUAAAGGAAGGUUUAUCACCCCGACUUUACAUAACCAGGUAAACAGAGUCACAGCCAGAAUUGGAAGCAGCUUUCCCAGGGAAUGCACAAUCAGGAAAAGAGUGUGGGUUUCCAGCAUCUCCCCACAAGCCACUGUUCGCUCAAUGACUCCAGGAAUGGUCCUGGUGACAAAGUUUUACCAGUCCACUCAAAAUGAGAAAAAUACCAGCAAUUAUAUGUAUAUUUAAGAGUACAUUUCAGAGUGUAUAUUGCUUAUAUACAAUUGUGUAUGGGUGUGUGUGUGACAUAAAUUCUUCCAGUGCCCUUUUCUGCCUAAGGACUGGGACUGUCCAUAUUCUCAGAGUAUAUCUUCCUGAUUUGUUAGUUUUUCAAUAAUCUGCCAUUAAUGGUAUUGAUGUCACAUUGUAAUUUUUCAACAUCAUUACUUGACAGAAUAUAAAGUGAUAAUUCUAGGUCCUUUGCCAAAAUUACAGUAUAUACACACACACACACAGACACACACAUCCAUAUACCCAAAAGUCUAGAAAUUCUUGCUCCCCAGAACCCACAUGUCAGUUUCUUUUCAUUUUGGUGUUUUUCCUAUGGCUGUAGCAUGGCCCAGUCUCAGUCAGAGUCACAUAAGAAUAUACCCCGAGUCUGUUAUAACCACUGCACUUGGGAAUAAAUAUCUAUGCACGUUGUUGGGGCCCCUUAGUUAUAUUUCCUGACACUGACAGAAUGCUUUUCGUAGGUAGGUACCCAGCUUCUGUUGGAGGCCUGUGUCCAAGCUACAGUGCCAAUCUUCAUCUACACCAGUACCCUAGAGGUAGCCAGGCCCAAUUCCUACAAGGAAAUCAUUCAGAACGGUCAUGAAGAAGAGCCUCUGGAAAACACAUGGUACGCUCCAUACCCACACAGCAAAAAGCUUGCUGAGAAGGCUGUGCUGGCGGCUAAUGGGCUGACUCUGAAAAACGGUGGCACCUUGUACACUUGUGCCGUAAGACCAAUGUUUAUCUAUGGGGAAGGAAGCCCAAUCCUUUCUGCCGGUAUAAAUGAGGCCCUAAACAACCAUGGAAUCCUGUCAAGUUUCAGCAAGUUCUCCAGAGUCAACCCAGUCUAUGUUGGCAACAUAGCCUGGGCCCACAUUCUGGCCUUGAGGGCCCUGCGGGAGCCCAAGAAGGCCCCAAGUGUCCGAGGACAGUUCUACUAUAUCUCAGAUGACACGCCUCACCAAAGCUAUGAUAACCUUAGUUACACCUUGAGCAAAGAGUUCGGCCUCUGCCUUGAUUCCAGUUGGAGCCUGCCUUUAUCCCUGACGUACUGGAUUGGCUUCCUGCUGGAAAUAGUGAGCUUCCUGCCGAGGCCAGUUUACACCUGUCGACCGCCCUUCAACCACCACAGAGUGACAUUGUCAAAUAGCGUGUUCACCUUCUCUUACAAGAAGGCUCAGCAAGAUCUGGCAUAUAAGUCACUUUACAGCUGGGAGGAAGCCAAGCAGAAAACCAUGGAGUGGGUUGGUUCCCUUGUGGACUGGCACAAGGAGACCCUGAAGUCCAAGACUCAGUGAUCGAAGGAUGACAGAGAUGUGCAUGUGGGUAUUGUUAGGAGAUGUCGUCAAGCUCCAUCCUCCUGGCUUCAUACAGGUGACAAGGGCAAAAGUCCAGGUCCUGCUGCCUCCCUUUCACAUAAUAGCCAACUUAUUGUCUUCCUCAUGUCAUCAAAACCUGCCCAGUCCCUGGCCCAACCAGAAGCUUUUUGUCCUAAUCAUAUACCAGAGGAAAGACAAUGUGAUUUGCUUUUUCCAUAUCUCAGUGGCUGAUUCCGAACAAUUGUAGUCUCUUCUAACUUGAGGUCAUUUUUAACUACUAGAGCUCCAUUUCUACUCUUAAAUGAGAAAGGAUUUCUUUUCUUUUAAAUCUCCUAUUUCUUCACGCAGUCCAAUGUAAAGAGCAAUAAAUGUUUUAAUCCUUAACCUGGAGGGAGGUGUAGUUUCUGUUAAUACCUAGUUCCCUCCUUUUCUUUUCAUUUCCAGGUAUCACCAUCUUUUACCUAGGAGAGUAGCAUGGAGCUGGGGAA